GCUAGGUUCACUGGUGAUUUUCUUCAUACUUACAGGGCACUGAAGUCACUGUGAUCAAGAAGGCAGUGCUUCCAGAUCGAGGCUCCUAUUGCACUUCAGGAGCUGUAACUCUGCGUGCUCCCUAAGUAUAGGGUGCACGGUGUACAAUUUUUGGUAGUAGGGUUGACCUGCGUACGCGCUUGUCUACCCGUCCAACAAAACAAAAUCAAUUCUGUUCUAACCUGAAGACUCAAUUCCUUUCUACUUGAGAGGAGAGUGAUAAGUGCUAUUCAUAGGCUUCAUUUAUUGCUAUUUCAGGCUCUGCUUGGUGGUUGAACGAAAAUAAUAUUACACUGAAAUAAUCAUUUAAAAAGUCAAAGAUUUUCAUAUGAUUGUUCCUAGCUGUAACGACUACACAUUUGUGCAAGUAAUACAGACAAAGGGGGCCGAUGCUGAAAGAUGCUGACGAAACAACCUAUAUGGAGCUGCAGCAAGAAGAAAGGUUGAUAAUCAACUUCAUAAACCAAGUUAUCUGUGAGCUGCGUCAAAGACAAUAAUAUAUCCAAGAUAAAGGUAAUGCAUUAAGUGCGCUAACAUCUAGCUGAGAAAAGGAAGGCAGACAAAGAUCCUCGUCAAAAGUCUGGACACUUUCAACCUCUCUUUUGGCCGAGGACGUGGAUCGAGG